ACAAAAGUAUAUAAGGAGCUGUCACUCCCUCUGAAUAGCUGAAGGAGGAGUGGUUAACAAACUAAGAAAUUAAAAGAAAACACACUUUCAGUCACACAAGUGAGGAGGAGGAACACUGCUCAUCAUGGAAAGAAAACUCCUUUGCUGGAUAUUUUUGCUUGGAUAUUUUCAUGCAUGCUCUGGACAAACUUCUCCACCAAGUACCACAAUUACAGUAACAACUACUACAGACCCUACGACUACAACAGAUCCGACUACAACAGAUUCGACUACAACGGAUUUGACCACAACGGAUACGACUACAGAAGAUCCGACUACAACAGAUUCGACUACAAUGACUCCGACUACAGAAGAUCCGACCACAACAGAUUUGACUACAAUGACUCCGACUACAGAAGAUCCGACCACAACAGAUUUGACUACGACUCCGACUACAGAAGAUCCGACCACAACAGAUUUGACCACAACGGAUACAACUACAGAAGAUCCGACUACAACAGAUUCAACCACAACAGAUUCGACUACAGAAGAUCAAACUACUACAGAGCCAACCCCUACAGAUCAAGACUUGCUGUCCCUGGCACAUAUAGAGAUUAAGGUAACUUCCUAUGGAGAAGUCAGCAAUGGAACCCUCACUGAGCUCAUCACGCAGACUUUCAGAAACCAGUUUCUGAAUGGAACAGCACACACGGUCCGUGUGACAAACAUCCAAAAGGUCAGAGUUGGCCCAUAAAAGAGGAAGAUCCCGAUGUGAAGUUAGUAACACACCAAUUGUAUGUGUGCUGUGGGGUGUGAAAGCUUGAUGGAUUGUUUAGUGGAAGCAUCUGGGGGAUGCCUCUACUGUGUUGGCUUCUGCCUGUCUAUGUAAAGCUUAUUUAAUCAUUAACAUCACUACUUCCUGUCAAAUCUAAUGAGAAUCCAGCUGCUUCAGAAGGUAACUUUAAUGUACUGUAUAUUUAUUGUUAUCUUGUCUAAUGAAUUAGCCUCAUAAGUUCCUCAUACUAAAUGUCUCAUUUCCACUGAUCAUCAACCUGUGUUCGUGGUUUCAGAAGUAAUCUUGACAGACAUCUCUCUCUGGUUCAUUGAAAAUAAUCUGAAAGCAGGCAUUGAUUAUUGUAUGGAUUGUUGUGAAAAAAAUGUUUCUGUAACAUGAUGCAGGCACUCUGUGGAAUGUCUGUGGAACUACUAAUAAUGUAACAGUAAAGUAAGGAAAUGUGUGGAAUGAUUGCUCUUUAUCAGCCCGGAUGCACUGCAGAACCAAUGGUAGUUCAGCAAAAAAAAAG
rnacentral:lncRNA from 1 species